rnacentral:rRNA from 1 species
AGAAUCAACGCUGGCGGCGUGCCUAACACAUGCAAGUCGAACGAGAAAGUGGAGCAAUCCAUGAGUACAGUGGCGCACGGGUGAGUAACACGUGACUAACCUACCCUUGAGUGGGGGAUAAACCUAGGGAAACCUGGGCUAAUACCGCAUAAUACCUUCGGGUCAAAGGAGCAAUUCGCUUUAGGAGGGGGUCGCGGCCGAUUAGUUAGUUGGCGGGGUAAUGGCCCACCAAGACUGUGAUCGGUA